AUUGAACGCUGGCGGCAUGCUUUACACAUGCAAGUCGAACGGUAACAGGCCUUCGGGCGCUGACGAGUGGCGAACGGGUGAGUAAUGCAUCGGAACGUGCCCAGUCGUGGGGGAUAACGCAGCGAAAGCUGUGCUAAUACCGCAUACGAUCUGCGGAUGAAAGCGGGGGACCUUCGGGCCUCGCGCGAUUGGAGCGGCCGAUGUCAGAUUAGGUAGUUGGUGGGGUAAAGGCUCACCAAGCCAACGAUCUGUAGCUGGUCUGAGAGGACGACCAGCCACACUGGGACUGAGACACGGCCCAGACUCCUACGGGAGGCAGCAGUGGGGAAUUUUGGACAAUGGGCGCAAGCCUGAUCCAGCAAUGCCGCGUCCAGGAUGAAGGCCUUCGGGUUGUAAACUGCUUUUGUACGGAACGAAAAGCCCUGGGUUAAUACCCUGGGGUCAUGACGGUACCGUAAGAAUAAGCACCGGCUAACUACGUGCCAGCCGCCGCCGUAAGAC
rnacentral:rRNA from 1 species